UACGUAGGGUGCAAGCGUUAAUCGGAAUUACUGGGCGUAAAGCGUGCGCAGGCGGUUAUGUAAGACAGUUGUGAAAUCCCGGCGUCACUGGAACUGGACAUCUGUGACUGCAUAGCUAGAGUACGGUAGAGGGGGAUGGAAUUCCGCGUGUAGCAGUGAAAUGCGUAGAUAUGCGGAGGAACACCGAUGGCGAAGGCAAUCCCCUGGACCUGUACUGACGCUCAUGCACGAAAGCGUGGGGAGCAAACGAGG
rnacentral:rRNA from 1 species